CAUGCAGUCGAGCGAAUCGACGGGAGCUUGCUCCCUGAGAUUAGCGGCGGACGGGUGAGUAACACGUGGGCAACCUGCCUAUAAGACUGGGAUAACUUCGGGAAACCGGAGCUAAUACCGGAUACGUUCUUCUCGCAUGAGAGAAGAUGGAAAGACGGUUUACGCUGUCACUUAUAGAUGGGCCCGCGGCGCAUUAGCUAGUUGGUGAGGUAAUGGCUCACCAAGGCGACGAUGCGUAGCCGACCUGAGAGGGUGAUCGGCCACACUGGGACUGAGACACGGCCCAGACUCCUACGGGAGGCAGCAGUAGGGAAUCUUCCGCAAUGGACGAAAGUCUGACGGAGCAACGCCGCGUGAACGAAGAAGGCCUUCGGGUCGUAAAGUUCUGUUGUUAGGGAAGAACAAGUACCAGAGUAACUGCUGGUACCUUGACGGUACCUAACCAGAAAGCCACGGCUAACUACGUGCCAGCAGCCGCGGUAAUACGUAGGUGGCAAGCGUUGUCCGGAAUUAUUGGGCGUAAAGCGCGCGCAGGUGGUUCCUUAAGUCUGAUGUGAAAGCCCACGGCUCAACCGUGGAGGGUCAUUGGAAACUGGGGAACUUGAGUGCAGAAGAGGAAAGUGGAAUUCCAAGUGUAGCGGUGAAAUGCGUAGAGAUUUGGAGGAACACCAGUGGCGAAGGCGACUUCUGGUCUGUAACUGACACUGAGGCGCGAAAGCGUGGGGAGCAAACAGGAUUAGAUACCCUGGUAGUCCACGCCGUAAACGAUGAGUGCUAAGUGUUAGAGGGUUUCCGCCCUUUAGUGCUGCAGCUAACGCAUUAAGCACUCCGCCUGGGGGAGUACGGCCGCAAGGCUGAAACUCAAAGGAAUUGACGGGGGCCCGCACAAGCGGUGGAGCAUGUGGGUUUAAUUCGAAGCAACGCGAAGAACCUUACCAGGUCUUGACAUCCUCUGACAACCCUAGAGAUAGGGCUCCCCUUCGGGGGACAGAGUGACAGGUGGUUGCAUGGUUGUCGUCAGCUCGUGUCGUGAGAAUGGUGGGGUUAAGUCCCGCAACGAGCGCAACCCUUGAUCUUAGUUGCCAGCAUUCAGUUGGGC
rnacentral:rRNA from 1 species